UCGAGAAUCUUUCACAAUGGGGGCAACCCUGAUGGAGCGACGCCGCGUGGAGGUUAAGGUCUUCGGAUUGUAAACUCCUGUCAUGCGAGAACAAAGCCCUCACGGGUGUGAUAGUAUCGCAAGAGGAAGAGACGGCUAACUCUGUGCCAGCAGCCGCGGUAAUACAGAGGGGGCAAGCGUUGUUCGGAAUUAUUGGGCGUAAAGAGCUCGUAGGCCGCUCUGUAAGUCGGAAGUGAAAGACCACGGCUCAACCGUGGAAACGCUUUCGAAACUGUGGAGCUUGAGGCCGGGAGAGGAGAUCGGAAUUCCUGGUGUAGCGGUGAAAUGCGUAGAUAUCAGGAGAAACACCCGUGGCGAAGGCGGAUCUCUGGACCGGUUCUGACGCUGAGGAGCGAAAGCUAGGGGAGCAAACAGGAUUAGAUACCCUGGUAGUCCCUGAGCGGGCUGGCAAGGCGCAU
rnacentral:rRNA from 1 species